rnacentral:snoRNA from 1 species
ACCUGAUGAACACAGAUGACGAGUCUGAUUCGGAUUCCCGUUGAAGACAACCUAAUUUACCUACCAUUCAUGCAUUUCUGAUA